AGCUGGGGCUGCCCCUGGAUCCCUGGCAGUGCCCAAGGCCAGGCUUGGAACAGCCUGGGACAGGAGAAGGUGUCCCUGCCAUGGCUGGGGAGGAAUGAGAUGAGCUUCAAAGUCUUUUUGAACAUAAACCCUUCUAUGGCCCUGUGAUUUCAUUGUCUUUAUUAAUGGAUACCUAAUAAAGCCUAAUAUGCCUAGUAGCUCUUUCCCCUUUAAUCAUGCUUUAGCAACAGCAGAGUUCCUUUUUGCAAGUACCUGGAGCAGCUGCUGUGUCCUCUACCACUUUCCAAGUGUUUGAGAAAGUGACUCUAUUAACCAGCCAAAGCACACUGCAGCAAGGCUUAAUGCUUCUUCCAAAUGAAUAAUUUUCCUUUUUUGAAGAUAAUGAAAAUAUCUAUUUUCUAUUAGGAUCUAUUAGGAGACUUGUAAAUUGUACAUGCUUAAAUAUGGAACUAUACAGAAUGCCUGCUUUUGUUCUCCCUUGAGACAUCUGAAAUAGUUACAUAUACAUUUAUUCAUAGUUAUGAAAUAUGUUUCCAAAUGUAAUCCAUAAUAUUUAUUUUGAAAUAAAUUUGAUAUCAGACACCUAGAUAUAAGCUAGCAGACACAGACAAACACCUGCACACCAGCAUAAAAUAAUUUUAUUUGAAGCAAUGUGAGGACCUUUUGCUUAGGAUGUUUGUCUGUUUGAAUAAUUGGCAGAGCUACAUGUGACAAGCUUUGCAUUCAGGACAUCAAAGUGCAUGUUUCAAUCAGUUCAAGCUGCAGAAAGCAAGGAUAAAUGACAUGAAAAACAUGGCUUCCAAAGUGCUUUUAAUUGUCAGGAAAAAGACAGGCAGACAUGAGUCUCUGGGGGCUAAACACUUUCUUCUGGCUUGUUGAAGCAUGCAAAUAAAUAGAUGCAAUUUUUUUUUCUUUCUUUCUUAAAGAAGAUAUAAAUAAAUAAAAAGUUAUAUUGAAUGCCCCUUGCCAAAACCAUAACAGACAUGAGAAAUAGGAGGACACUUUCAAAGCAGUGUUCAAGUCUAUCAGUGCAAAGCACUAGUCUCAGUCUCCACACACAACUUUGAAAUAUUUCCCAGAGGUUUUGUCUGGUGUUCUGUCAUUCCUAAAAAAAAAAAAAAAAACCCACCAAAAAAACCCCCACAAAACAAAAAACAAGAAAAAAAAACCAAAACAACAAAACAAAACAAAAAAAACCCAACAAAACAUUUCAUGGCAAAAAUGAAAGAAAAAAACAUCAAAGGCUGAAAGAAAAUGGUCUGUGCAAAACAAGACAGUGAGCAAAGUACCUCUGGCUGGACAAACAGAUUUUGGUGCAGUAAAGAAAAAAAAUAUACCUCAUAAAUAUUUUGUUUCUGAGAGUAACCUGACCUCAUUCUACUCCAAGGUGACCCACUGAGUGCAUGAGGGAGAAGCUGUGGAUGAUGUCUUUCUGACCUUGAGGACUUCAGGAAGGACUUGGACACUGUGUCCCACAGUUUUUUCCUGGGAAAACCAUGAGAGGGGUUUUCCUCUCAUGCCUUGGACAGCUGUGCUGUUCCCUGUUUAAAACAACACUUCCUGGAUGGAUGGUCCUAAUGACCAGUUGCAAGUGGAAUUCACUAGUGGUAGUCCCCAGUACAGGGCCCUGUGGUAUUUAACAUCUUUAUUUAUGAUCUGGGCAGGCUGCAUGGAUGGGCUGAGGCCAGUGGGGUGAAGUAAAAGCAGGCCAAGUGCCAGCUGAAAAAGUUUGGAGCCAGUCUGCCAUGAACAGCUGCUACAGAAGUUCCUGUGCUCUGUAGACAGAGGACAAUUUUACGAGAAAUAAGGAGUGCUAGGAGGGGUUUUCCUCUCAUAACUGCUGAGCUCAUCCUUUCAAGAUGCAGAUACAAGGAAUGAACAAGCUCAAGGACUCUGGGAAGACCGAUCCACAAUGUGGAGGACUUCCACAUCUCACAGAAUAUUCCAUCCUGUAAGUCAGCAGCCCAGAAAUUUCUCAGCAACACAAACGUUAUUGGUUUGUUUGGCACAGAAUGACAAUAACACUUGUGAAAGGAACGUGAUUUAUUCCACUUCUGAGAAGAAGCAACACCCUUGACCAAGUGCUGCCUGAACCAGCAUCUCCACGGCUUGCUGCAAAAUAAAGCAGGAAAGCUCUCAGAUUUAGUUUCAGAGUAGGCAAAAGGGGAAGUAAAACACCCUGAUUCUGCAGUGAGCAUUGGUUUCUAUGAAGUUAUAUCUACCAGAAGAGGAAAUAAAGCAGAGAGGAUACUCUCCAGAUGCUUUUUAAGCCAAAAGAGGUAUUUUAUUGACUGUAUUCCUUUAGCUGUUAUCACCAUUUUGUGUCACUCACUGUUAUUUUGGUAUUAUAAGAAUUCAUUGCACACACUUUAACUGUGGUCAUACUCAUUGCAACAAUGAGCUGCCAUAAAAUAAUACGUAAUAUACUAUAUUAUAAUUUUAACAAUUGCCAGCAGGCAUACAAGAACAGUCAUAUGCAUUUUUAUUAAUGAAUCGCAUUAAUUUAGAAUGGUUUAUUCUGUUUAUGCAUCAACAGAGAGAUCAUACAACUCAGUUGCCACAUUUUAUGUGUGAACAGCUUUCCAACCUCCUCAAAAGCGUUCAACAGCCACCUGAUUGGAAGAAGAAAGGCAGCAGAGCAGUCCACAGCUGAGAAAUGAGGCAGGAUUCUGCUAAUUUACUCAUUCCAGGAAGCUCACCCUGCACAAGCAGUGCCAUUUGAACAAAUUGUGCUGCUUGUUAGUAAGGAUCAGGAACCUGAAGAAAUGUAAUAAAUUUAAACCUGCACAGGGGUUGUAGGGCUAGACUUAAACGUACCUGUUGUCAAAGUCACUUCAUCAAGGAGGCUGAACAUGGGCUGUGGAAGAAGAAGUGUGUUAUUUUCUAAAAAACUUUUUAUUUUCUAAAAAUAUUUUCUUUUCUAAAAAAAAAAAAUUAUAAAAAGUAGAACUAACAUGUAGCAGCUUUAUGCUGUCUUUGAGCUUCUUUGUAUUCUGUAAAGACAUUCAUAGAAUCAAAGAAUGGUUUGGUUUUUUUUUAAGGGACAUUUCAAGGCCAUCAUGUCCAACCCCUGUAAUGAGCAGGGACAUCUUCAACAAGGUCAGGCUGCUCACAGCCCUGUCCAACCCAACCUUGAAGGGAUGAUGCACCCACCACCUCUCUGAAGAGCCUGUUCCAGUGUCUCACCACCUUCAUCAUAGAAAAUGUCUUCCCUUCAUCUAGUUUUAGCUCUUCCCUCUUUGAGUUUAAAAGCAGCAUCUCUUGUCCUUUUAUUACAGCCCCUGAUAAAAAUUCUGUCCCCAUCUUUCUUGUCAGCUCCCUUUAGGCAGUGGAAGGGGCUCUAAGGUCUCCCCAGAGCCUUCUUUUCUCCAAGCUGAACACCCCAAGCUCUCACAGACUUUCAAGUAAUUCAUCCGUACUUUAAAAUCAGUUAAAAUAUUGUUCUGCAGAGAACGUGGCAAGAAGGGUUUUUUUUCCUUUGAGGUAUUAAAAAAGUUGUAAGAUGGUUUCCACAGCAACUCUGACAUUACACACCAAUAUAAUUUUCAGGCCUCCUGAAAUUUAUUUAUUUAUUUGUGCCUGCAGCUUUGCCUCUGGCAUAAACCUUUGCUACUGAGCUGAAGCUUAUGAUACGUGUCAUGAUUUUUUUCCACUGCCAAAUCUAGAUCUGACCAGCUAGUUUAAAAGGGAGAAUUCUCAUAGCUGAAAGAAGAGGGAGGAUUAAAAGAAAAAAAUAAACCCAAAAACUUACUGUCAAGCUUGCAUCUACAAAGAGAUGGAUGCAGAAGUGAGUGAAGGUUGUUACAAAAUGACUGCUUCAGGACCUGAAUUAUUCUGGAAUGUAGAAAAUAUAGAAGCAGCAAAAUAUGGCCAAAAAGAAAGGCUGAGGAGAGCAGCUGCUGCAAAUCUUGC